GUGCAGGACGACUGCCCUAUGGGUUGUAAACUGCUUUUAUAUAGGGAUAAACCUACUCUCGUGAGAGUAGCUGAAGGUACUAUAUGAAUAAGCACCGGCUAACUCCGUGCCAGCAGCCGCGGUAAUACGGAGGGUGCAAGCGUUAUCCGGAUUUAUUGGGUUUAAAGGGUCCGUAGGUGGGCUGAUAAGUCAGCGGUGAAAUCCUGCAGCUUAACUGUAGAACU
rnacentral:rRNA from 1 species